rnacentral:miRNA from 1 species
CAGCAGACACAUUCCAGCCAAUCAGCAGCAGACCCUCCCUCCCACCUCCUGGACAGCAUCCAUUUUACAUUCAUUGUGAAGCUGCAUUCUUAGUGAGCUGUCCAGGAAGUGGGAGGGUCUGGGAGGGAGGGUCUGCUGCUGAUUGGCUGGAAUGUGUCUGCUG